AGCAUGUGGUUUAAUUCGAUGAUACGCGAGGAACCUUACCUGGGCUCAAAUGUAUGUUGACGUAUUCUGAAAGGGAUACUUCUUCGGACAAUAUACAAGGUGCUGCAUGGUUGUCGUCAGCUCGUGCCGUGAGGUGUCGGGUUAAGUCCCAUAACGAGCGCAACCCCUAUCAUUAGUUGCCAUCAGGUUAAGCUGGGGACUCUAAAGGAACUGCCUACGCAAGUAGUGAGGAAGGCGGGGAUGACGUCAAAUCAGCACGGCCCUUACGUCCAGGGCUACACACGUGCUACAAUGGCCGAUACAGAGGGCAGCUACCUGGUGACAGGAUGCAAAUCUCCAAAGUCGGUCUCAGUUCGGAUCGGAGUCUGCAACCCGACUCCGUGAAGUUGGAUUCGCUAGUAAUCGCGCAUCAGCCAUGGCGCGGUGAAUACGUUCCCGGGCCUU
rnacentral:rRNA from 1 species